UGCCGAACUCUGAAUAAUGCCGAGGGCAGUUCUCCUCUGCCAUCUGCAUCCAGCCUUGCUUUGCCUGGGCCCAGACUAGGGAAUCAUCACCUUUGCAGCACUGAGGGCAAGGCAGGCUCACUGCAGUGCUCACAGCUUGUGAGCAGAACUGCCCAAGGCCUCUUCAUGGCAUUUACCUAACACAUCCCCAUCACAAGUGCUACUUGUUUCAUACUACUCAUUCCACUGCAGUAACCAGCAUUCAGAAAAUACCAGGAAUGCAGUUCAGUUACCUGGUGCGCAGCAGAUGCUGCUUUGGCGUUUGCAGUAAUGGAGUGAGUAAGCUCAGACAUGGCUGUAGCAAACCCAGAGUGCUCUGCACCAGCGCAGCAGUGCAGAGACAGCACAGGCCCACCUGCCCACAUGUCCUCUGCAUCGUGAGAAGCUUCUGCUCGUCUUCUGGCCAUGCACAGUCACAUGGAUAUGAGCACAGAGACAUGGCAGGAGUGACCAGGAUUAAUAACCCUUGGCUGAGCAUCAUCAGAUGGCAUCCGCAUCUCUGCUCAAAGUUCGGUCCACACCCAGAGCAUGAAACAGGAGCAUGUGCUUCAAGCCCCACCAAAGCACUUGCUGGCACCAGCACCUCUCUCUCAUCAGGUGUUUGCACCCCCUGUGCAGAUUUCUGUUUGUUGAUUUAAAAAAAAAAGGUAAUAAAUCAUAAAUGGUUCCUGAAUCCACUGCGGCAGUUUCGCACCUCCCUGUUCUAAUCAACAGUAGCAAUUCGACAGUUAUAAAUUGCAUUUGUAAAGUGUCCAUCUUACCUAACACCUAACUUUUAAACAAACUUUACAGGUGCUCCU